GAUGAAGAACGCAGCGAAAUGCGAUAAGUAGUGUGAAUUGCAGAAUUCAGUGAAUCAUCGAAUCUUUGAACGCACAUUGCGCCGUUUGGUACUCCAAAGGGCAUGCCUGUUCGAGCGUCAUUUGUACCCUCAAGCUUUGCUUGGUGUUGGGCGUCUUGUCUCUAGCUUUGCUGGAGACUCGCCUUAAAGUAAUUGGCAGCCGGCCUACUGGUUUCGGAGCGCAGCACAAGUCGCACUCUCUAUCAGCAAAGGUCUAGCAUCCAUUAAGCCUUUUUUUCAACUUUUGACCUCGGAUCAGGUAGGGAUACCCGCUGAACUUAAGCAUAUCAAUAAGCGGAGGA
rnacentral:misc_RNA from 1 species